rnacentral:rRNA from 1 species
GACGAACGCUGGCGGCAUGCCUAACACAUGCAAGUCGAACGAAGGCUUCGGCCUUAUUGGCGCACGGGUGCGUAACGCGUGGGAAUCUGCCCUUUUGUUCGGAAUAACAGCUGGAAACGGAUGCUAAUACCAGAGGAUGACGAAAGUCCAAAGAUUUAUUGCCAGAGGAUGAGCGCGCGUUGGAUUCGGUAGUUGGUGGGGUAAUGGCCGACCAAGCCGUCGAUCCAUAGCUGGUCUGAGAGGAUGAUCAGCCACACUGGGGCUGAGACACGGCCCAGACUCCUACGGAAGGGAGGAGUGGGGUACAUAGUACAAUGGGCGCAAGCCUGAUCCAGCAAUGCCGGGUGAGUGAUGAAGGGAGUAGUGUUCUAAUGUCCUUUUACCCGGGAAGAUAAUGACGGUACCGGGAGAAUAAGCCCCGGCUAACUACGUG